rnacentral:rRNA from 1 species
UUCCAGACUCCUACGGGAGGCAGCAGUGGGGAAUAUUGCACAAUGGGGGGAACCCUGAUGCAGCGACGCCGCGUGGGUGAAGAAGUCAUUCGUGACGUAAAGCCCUAUCAGCAGGGAAGAAAAUGACGGUACCUGACUAAGAAGCCCCGGCUAACUACGUGCCAGCAGCCGCGGUAAUACGUAGGGGGCAGGCGUUAUCCGGAUUUACUGGGUGUAAAGGGGGCGCAGACGGCAGCGCAAGCCAGGAGUGAAAGCCCGGGGCCCAACCCCGGGACUGCUCUUGGAACUGCGCGGCUGGAGUGCAGGAGGGGCAGGCGGAAUUCCUGGUGUAGCGGUGAAAUGCGUAGAUAUCAGGAGGAACACCGGUGGCGAAGGCGGCCUGCUGGACUGCGACUGACGUUGAGGCCCGAAAGCGUGGGGAGCAAACAGGAUUAGAUACCCUGGUA